rnacentral:rRNA from 1 species
AUUGAACGCUGGCGGCAUGCUUUACACAUGCAAGUCGAACGGCAGCGCGGGCUUCGGCCUGGCGGCGCGUGGCGAACGGGUGAGUAAUACAUCGGAACGUGCCCAGUAGUGGGGGAUAGCUCGGCGAAAGCCGGAUUAAUACCGCAUACGACCUGAGGGUGAAAGCGGGGGAUCUUCGGACCUCGCGCUAUUUGAGCGGCCGAUGGCAGAUUAGCUAGUUGGUGGGGUAAAGGCCUACCAAGGCGACGAUCUGUAGCUGGUCUGAGAGGACGACCAGCCACACUGGGACUGAGACACGGCCCAGACUCCUACGGGAGGCAGCAGUGGGGAAUUUUGGACAAUGGGCGAAAGCCUGAUCCAGCAAUGCCGCGUGUGUGAUGAAGGCCUUCGGGUUGUAAAGCACUUUUGGCGGGAACGAAAAGGACUGUGCCAAUACCACGGUUCGAUGACGGUACCCGCAGAAUAAGCACCGGCUAACUACGUG